CCUACGGGCGGCAGCAGUGGGGAAUAUUGCACAAUGGGGGCAACCCUGAUGCAGCGACGCCGCGUGAGCGAUGAAGUCUUUCGGUAUGUAAAGCUCUAUCAGCAGGGAAGAAAAUGACGGUACCUGACUAAUAAGCCCCGGCUAACUACGUGCCAGCAGCCGCGGUAAUACGGAGGGGGCAAGCGUUAUCCGGAUUUAAUGGUGGAAGAGGUAGCGUAGACGGCUGUGCAAGCCAGAUGUGAAAGCCCGGGGCUCAACCCCGGGACUGCAUUUGGAACUGUGUGGCUGGAGUGUCGGAGAGGCAGGCGGAAUUCCUAGUGUAGCGGUGAAAUGCGUAGAUAUUAGGAGGAACACCAGUGGCGAAGGCGGCCUGCUGGACGAAGACUGACGUUGAGGCUCGAAAGCGUGGGGAGCAAACAGGAUUAGAUACCCUUGUAGUC
rnacentral:rRNA from 1 species